GCGUGUUCCGAUUUCCAGCUUACCAGAAUCGGCGAUCGCCAGGUUAAAGAUCAAGUCGCCAGAUGUAGAUUCAGGCGACCUAGUCAUUGGAGAUCGCCAGAGCGAGCACAUCGCCGAAGAUGAAGGAGAAGCAGAUUAUGAAGGCGGCCGGCGAGACCACAGGGAAGGUGUAUGAAGGCCCUAACUCGCCAGUUCCAGUAGAGAUCGCACUCCUAAGUUAGCUAUGCACUGGGCAGUACCAUGCAUAAGUAACUUAGCCAAAAUGAGAGUAGAAGCAGCGCCAAGUCAGGGAGCCUCCAGAUGAUGGCAC
rnacentral:lncRNA from 1 species